rnacentral:tRNA from 1 species
GGGGCGAGCUGGGAAUUGAACCCAGGGCCUCUCGCAUGCUU